rnacentral:rRNA from 1 species
UGCAGUCGAACGGGACUUAUUUUGUAGCAAUACGAAAUGAGUUCAGUGGCGCAAGGGUGCGUAACACGUGAAUCAUCUGCCGAAAAGUGGGGGAUAGCUCGCCGAAAGGCGAAUUAAUACCGCAUGUGGUCGCAAGACUAAAGCCGCAAGGCGCUUUUUGAUGAGUUCGCGGCCUAUCAGCUAGUUGGUGAGGUAAAAGCUUACCAAGGCUAAGACGGGUAGCUGGUCUGAGAGGACGACCAGCCACACUGGAACUGAGACACGGUCCAGACACCUACGGGUGGCAGCAGUCGAGAAUUUUUCUCAAUGGGGGAAACCCUGAAGGAGCGACGCCGCGUGGAGGAUGAAGGUCUUCGGAUUGUAAACUCCUGUCAUCGAUGAACAAAGCCAUCGCAAGGUGGUGUGAUAGUAAUCGAAGAGGAAGGGACGGCUAACUCUGUGCCAGCAGCCGCGGUAAUACAGAGGUCCCAAGCGUUGUUCGGAUUCAUUGGGCGUAAAGGGUGCGUAGGCGGCAAAUCAAGUUAGAUGCGAAAUCCCGGGGCUUAACUCCGGAACUGCAUUUAAUACUGCUUUGCUAGAGUACUAGAGAAGGGGCUGGAAUUUACGGUGUAGCAGUGAAAUGCGUAGAUAUCGUAAAGAACGUCAGUGGCGAAAGCGAGCCUCUAGAUAGUUACUGACGCUGAGGCACGAAAGCCAGGGGAGCAAACGGGAUUAGAUACCCCGGUAGUCCUGGCUGUAAACGGUGCGCGUUUGGUGUGAGGGGGUUCGACCCUCCUUGUGCCGGAGCUAACGCGUUAAACGCGCCGCCCUGGGAAAAUACGGUCGCAAGACUAAAACUCAAAGAAAAUUGA